rnacentral:misc_RNA from 1 species
UUUCCGUAGGUGAACCUGCGGAAGGAUCAUUAAAAAAUGUGGUACCAAUUAUUGUACUAAUUAAUCAUCCUACCCUUUGUGAAUUUGUUGUAACGAAUUUUUUUUAAAUGGGUCUUUCCCUAAGUUGGAUUGUAGUAAAUACAAAAAGACUUAGGGGAAUGACUUUUUUAAAAGACUUUUUUUUAAUUAAAACUUUUUGUAUUCAUUUGUCUAAAAUUUAUUUUUAUAAUAUAAAACAACUUUUGACAAUGGAUCUCUUGGUUCUCGCAACGAUGAAGAACGCAGCAAAAUGCGAUAAGUAGUGUGAAUUGCAGAAUACGUGAAUCAUCGAAUCUUCGAACGCAUAUUGCACUUUUUAGUUUACUAAAAAGUAUGUCUGUUUGAGUAUCAGUAAAAUAUUCUCACAAACAUAUAUUGUUUGUGGUAUGAGUGUUUACAACGAUAAACAAGUUGUUCACUUUAAAUUCUUUUAUGUAAUUUUUACCAAUUCAUAAAUUAAAAUGGAUAAAAUUUUCCUUUAACGAGGAAUAACCUAAACAAUUUAAAUUUUUUGGAUUAUAAACAUCAUAAAGGAAUCUAUACAUAAAUAACUUGAUCUCAAAUCAGAUAAGAGUACCCGCUGAACUUAAGCAUAUCAAUAAGCGGAGGAAAAGAAACUAACAAGGAUUCCCUUAGUAACGGCGAGUGAAGCGGGAAGAGCUCAAAUUUGAAUCUUCAAGGUUUGACCUUGACGAAUUGUAGUUUAUAGAAGUGUUUCUGUUGGAGUUUUGGUAAAAGUUCUUUGGAAUAGGACAUCAUAGAGGUGAGAAUCCGUAUUUGACCAUGACUUUCCAGCUGUGUGAUACACUUUCAAAGAGUCGGAUUGUUUGGGAAUGCAGUCCAAAAUGGGUGGUAAAUUUCAUCUAAGCUAAGUAUUGGCGAGAGACCGAUAGCGAACAAGUACCGUGAGGGAAAGAUGAAAAGAACUUUGAAAGAGAGUUAAACAGUACGUGAAAUUGUCAAAGGGAAGCGUUUGACACCAGUGUUGUUUUCUCGAAAAUCAAUUAAUGAGUUCUUGUUUUAAGUUAUUGUGACUUUAUCAGCGCAUUUCUUAUUUUACUUGACUCAUUGAAUGCACUUUUCGUUUAACAAGUCAACAUCAAUUUCUUUGGUGGUAAAAAGUUAAAGGAAGGUGGCUUGGACUUCGUUCAAGUGUUUAUAGCCUUUUUCUAUGCCAUCGGAGAGAUUGAGGUCUGCAGCGUAGAUCCUUCGGGUUAGAUACCUUUGUGCUAAGUUAUAGUUUUUAUAGACUACUUGUUGACUAUAAUUAACCCUGCAAUUUACUCGCUUAGGCUAUUUUACCUACGCUUAGGAUGUUG